CACAGUGAAAUCUCUUGGUACUGCUUUAAAAGCUUUUAAAAUAAAAUCUGUGAACCUUUGAAUAUUUCUACAUCAAUGGUAAGGACUGAAUUGAAUUAUCUGAAUGUCUCUGAUUUCAGCUCAUCCCAACUUCCCAAAAGCUGAUGGGCUUUCAAAAUCUGUCCCCACGAAGUGGCUUUGACAUACCUACGAUCCUCAAGUAUUCUUCACAUUUGCUGAGCUCUUACAUAGCAGUGUCAACGCAUACAUCCAAGAUCCAAGGCAGCACAAUGAAAAGUACAAGAGGCUUUACAACAGUGUGCCCUUCUAUGUAAAAUUCAGGUACGUGAUAUGAGAAAAAGGCCUCCUUUCAUGCUGGCUGACAAUUUGAAUUUAACAGAACCACUACAGUUUGAAAGCCACGUUUGAAAAGCAAGCAGUAAAACUUGCCAUGUGAUUUUUGAUGUAGCUGGCUAUGACACUGCUAUUCCCUGCUUAAGCGAUCUCCUAAUGCACCCGAAAACUUUACUAGGGAUAUUUUAAAAACAAAACCAGCAAAACUUCAGUAUAACAGUAGAGCCUCAUUCAGAAAGAAAAGCAGUUCCAGAGCAUAUUCUUUUAUUAAGUCUAGUAACUUUUUUGGUCAUAAUAUCUUUGCCAUACAGUGGUAUCAUUUAUUUAAAAAUUAAGGACGUAAUUUAAAAGGAUGUUUAUGCAAGCUAUGCUCAGUGUCCAGUAUGUGCACUCAUGUGCACGAUCAAUUCUAAGUGUAACAGGUCUUUGCAACUUAUAGCUGAGGUUAAACACAGCUUCAUUAUACAGCAUGGUGCAUGUGGUUUGUACCUUGACUUUAACUGAGCUGUACAGAAAAGGUAGUAAGUGAAAGAGAAAAGUGGCCAUAUGUAAGGAACUGUGCAAGUAUUAUUAUAGUGAUAUAAGUGCACACACACAUGUUUAUGUAUAGAUGCGUAUAUGUGUAUUAUUUAUCUGGCCCACAGAUAAAUAAUCAUAAAACCAGUGCAUUAUCAUUACACAUCUUAUAUAUAACUGUAGCUUCAUUUCUUUGUAAAGUUCAAGAAUGAACUACUGAGCUAAACGAAAGUAGGCCAACCUACAUCAGUCAAUAUCCGGCUCCUUUUAUUAUCUCUUUUUGUCCUAGUGCUCUUUGCCACCCUGGCACCAGCAAGAUUCAAUCUAUUAAAAUUGCUGCCUAGCAUGUCCUCAAGUCCAAUAAAGGAUAAAAAACUGGCUGAUAAAAAAAAUGGAAAUUGACUGUUGAAACAUGCUGAAAAGGGGGAAAGGGGCUACACAAAAAUUAGAUUUGGGUGUUUUGGUACCAUUUGCAGAGCUUCAAUGGGCUGACUUUUUUGAAGGCCCAUGGAAAUCAAUAAAACUGAAAGCCACCAAAAUUUCAGGGGAUUUAUGUUAGAAACAGGAGAAGAAAUUUUUCUAGAUUCCAUUUGAAAGAAGGAGGCAAGCUGGUUUCCAAAGGAGAUCAGAUUAAAAUAGUGCUUGAACUGGAUCCCAGCUGGAUCACCCACAAUUCCUAAAAACACUAUGAAAUACUCCACGGUCUUCGUCCCUCUGGUAUCAUGGUGGGUGCUACAGGGGCAGAGGGGGCAGAGCAGUGGCCCUGAAGAGGAAGGUGGCCAGUUCCUGUGCUCAUAUCCAACAGCCGCCCGGCAGCAAGUUAGGAGCAGAGGGUAACACCUGCAAUGCCAUCAAUGGAAACAGCACCGCAUCCUGGAAGACAUGUUAUAAAGACAAUUUUAUGCAGAAAUCUCUCUUCCUCCUAACGUCUCUGCCUUUCCCAUGUAAAAAGCCAUAGGAGAAGCUGAGGUGUGUUGAGAUGUGGAAAGAAAAGAGGCCAAGGACCCUGGACAAUUUUAGCAGAACCCAAGAGCUGCAUCUAGAUAUUGGUCUGCCAGGGCGUAAAGCAUCAUUUGGCUGCAACAGGAUCUUUGUGCAUGGAUCAAUGACAGUGUAUGACCCCUGCUGAGCAGCAUUCUUGAGUCGCAGAGAAAGAAAAACAGUGCUUGCUUUGUGUCAUUGGGCUGAGGUAUUCUACUUGGUAUGGCUUGGUUUGAAUGAUAAUUUAUGAAGCAUGGAAAUUUUUGAACAGUUAUGACUGCCAGCUGGUGGGUUAUUCUCUGUUUCUUCUAUGUUAUUCAUCAUUAUUUACUCACUUGUUUGGAUGUGUGUGCACGUUUUGUGUUGUGGAUCUAUUGUAUACUCAUUUUUUCAUGACAGACAUUUAGGCUUCUUGCAGUUGCCCAGUGAUGACUGCGGUUUUCAGGUGUGCACCUUAAUAUUAGAUGAGAGGCAGAAAGACUGUAGUAAUUCAGGAUGAAUAAUUCAACAGCUAUCACAUGCACUGCACUGUAACAGAGAAACCUGCUGUGCUGUGUCAAUGUUCUUCUGACCACUAUAAUCUUACAGCAUCCAAACAAAGAACUGGAAGCCAGUCACUUACACACAAAAAUGAUCUUCACCUCUUCAGCUCCGCUACCACCACUGGCUUUCUGUGCCCACAGAAUGUGAGAGACGAAGAUUUGUCUGGUGGUUCCGAGAUGAGCCUUUGCCCGGAGAUUUCCAUUCUUUGGUGUGAUUAUGCAGUCACCGCACAGUCCCGCUGGCAUCAGCAGCUAUUAUGCACCAGCUGCAUAACCAGGCAUUUCUGGGAAGAGGUGGGGAGGAAGAAGGCCACGUUUGUCCCCUGUGUUCCCUAAUGGUAGAAGAUGAAACAAUUGGACAAAGCAUUGUGUGAUUUUUGAUGUGCAGCUGUUGGCCUGUGUUUUCUGACUGCUCUGUAAAUCUGAUGAGAAUGUGAUGCUAGGAAAAUGGAAUGCUUCGGUCAUAACAACCCCGUGCAACACUGCUACAGGCUUGGGGAUGAGUGGCUGCAAAGCUGUCUGGCAGAAAAGAACCUGGGGGUGCCCACCAACAGCCAGCUGAACAUGAGCUAGCUGUGUGCCCAGGUGGCCAAGAAGGCCAAACAGCAUCCUGGCUUGUAUCUGGAACAGCAUGGCCAGCAGGAAAAGGGGAGUGAUCUCCCCCCUGUACUGGGCACUGGUGAGGCUGCACCUCAAAUCCUGUGUUCAGUUCUGGGUCCCUCGCUGCAAGACACUGAGAUGCUGGAGCGUGUCCAGAGAUGGGCAGUGAAGUUGGUGAAGGGUCUGGAGAAAAAGUCCUAUGAGGAGCGGCUGAGUGAACAGGGGCUGUUUAAUCUGGAGAAAAGGAGACUCAGGGGAGACCUUAUUGCUCUCUACAACUACCUGAAAGGAGGUUGUAGCAAGCCAGCAUCAUCUUGUGGACUUUCUAAAAGUAUGGUUGUCGGACUGCUUCAGAUCUAACUCAGGAGUGAUUGUGAGCACCUGACUUACCUUUCUAAAUGCAAAUGUGAAAGUGAAAUCAGGCAGCCUGGACCCCUUUGACAUGCUAUUGAGAGAAAUAGCCAGACUGCAUGAAUGCAGGCUAACCAGACUGCAGAUUCUUACAUGAACCAGUGAGCGUGGAAGGGUCCAGCUCAUGCACCUCAGCCAUGACCUGGAGGAACCACCGUGAGGCAAGCCACGACCAUUUAAGCUCAUUCAC